rnacentral:rRNA from 1 species
CCUAGAAAUAAAUCUAAGGUGAAACCUGCCCAAUGAAUCUCAACUUAAUAGUUUUGAAUAACUAAAAGAGAAUUUAAAGGACGCAGUAACUUGACUGUGGUAACGUAGCAUAAUCACUUGCCAUUUAAUUUAUGGAUAGUAUGAAUGGUUAAACGAAUUCCUCACUGUCUAAAAAAGAGAAGUCAUGAAAUUAAAAUAAUAGUCAAGAUGCUAUUUAAAAUUGUAAGACGAAAAGACCCUAUAGAGCUUAACUACAUUCUUUUUUAAAAUUAAAGAAGAAAACUUAAUAAUAGAAAGAAAGGUAGUUUAGUUGGGGCGACUGUCUUCUAAAUCAAACGAAGGUAAACAAUGUUAAUAAUUAACUUAUUGUAUAAUUUAUAAAUUUAACAGUUACAAAAGUAGGUUAUAAUGACCCGUUAAAAUAUAGUAAAAUAUUUAACGAUUAAUAAAUAAAAGCUACCUUAGGGAUAACAGAAUAAUUUUGUUCUAGAGACCCUAUCGAAAACAAAGUUUGUCACCUCUAUGUUGAAUUAAGAUAUCCUAAUAAUGCAGAAGUUAUUAAGGGUAGGUCUGUUCGACUUUUAAAAU